rnacentral:rRNA from 2 species
GAUGAACGCUGGCGGCGUGCCUAAUACAUGCAAGUCGAACGAGUUCUCGUUGAUGAUCGGUGCUUGCACCGAGAUUCAACAUGGAACGAGUGGCGGACGGGUGAGUAACACGUGGGUAACCUGCCCUUAAGUGGGGGAUAACAUUUGGAAACAGAUGCUAAUACCGCAUAGAUCCAAGAACCGCAUGGUUCUUGGCUGAAAGAUGGCGUAAGCUAUCGCUUUUGGAUGGACCCGCGGCGUAUUAGCUAGUUGGUGAGGUAAUGGCUCACCAAGGCGAUGAUACGUAGCCGAACUGAGAGGUUGAUCGGCCACAUUGGGACUGAGACACGGCCCAAACUCCUACGGGAGGCAGCAGUAGGGAAUCUUCCACAAUGGACGCAAGUCUGAUGGAGCAACGCCGCGUGAGUGAAGAAGGCUUUCGGGUCGUAAAACUCUGUUGUUGGAGAAGAAUGGUCGGCAGAGUAAC